CUUUCCCUCUGGCGGCAGGCCUAACACAUGCAAGUCGAACGGUAACAGGAAGAAGCUUGCUUCUUUGCUGACGAGUGGCGGACGGGUGAGUAAUGUCUGGGAAACUGCCUGAUGGAGGGGGAUAACUACUGGAAACGGUAGCUAAUACCGCAUAAUGUCGCAAGACCAAAGAGGGGGACCUUCGGGCCUCUUGCCAUCGGAUGUGCCCAGAUGGGAUUAGCUAGUAGGUGGGGUAACGGCUCACCUAGGCGACGAUCCCUAGCUGGUCUGAGAGGAUGACCAGCCACACUGGAACUGAGACACGGUCCAGACUCCUACGGGAGGCAGCAGUGGGGAAUAUUGCACAAUGGGCGCAAGCCUGAUGCAGCUAUGCCGCGUGUAUGAAGAAGGCCUUCGGGUUGUAAAGUACUUUCAGCGGGGAGGAAGGGAGUAAAGUUAAUACCUUUGCUCAUUGACGUUACCCGCAGAAGAAGCACCGGCUAACUCCGUG
rnacentral:rRNA from 1 species